CAUUGCCACCCCUAUAAUCUUGAGGGCUUCACCAUUGUGAAAAUCCUCAGCUUGAUCUGGUUUCGGCCCUUUCAAUCAGGUUCCGUUUGCGAGUAUGAGGGAGAGAACCAGUUAGGGUUUCAAGUAGAGAGAGGGAUGGCGACAGAGAGUUACGGCUGAACCCUUCUUGGCCAUGGCGAUUUACUGUGAGGGUCCUCGGUGUCGUCACCUCUCGCCAUUUUUAGAAAGCCGGCACGACAUGAAGUUCGACGAAGCAAACCAGAGAGAAAAGCGUCGAUAAAAGAUUCCACCGGUGAAAGAGAGAACAACGGAGAGUGUGUGUGACGAAGUAGUGGUAUAAGGCAGAGAAAGAGAGAACAACGGAGAUUUUCUCUUUGAAUUACGCAGCGUUUGUUUCACCAACCUCUCUACCUGCGAGGCUCCAACUCGGUGGUGGUGGGGGCGCCACUCAACUCUUCCGAACUUCACAGGUCAAUAACACUACUACUUCCUCAUGCUGCUGCUUCUUCAAUUUGAUAUAUUGCUAUGUAUCACCCAAACAAACCUCAAAGGACAAAGUUGGAUUCUUUUUUGGUUGUUGGUAACAUGUUUGGAAGCAGAAGAAGCAGUGAAGUCUACGUGUCCCCUUGGGACGAUAAGCCCUUUGAGAUGAACAGGAUUUGGUCACGUUUCUUGAUCCUCCUAAUGAAUUAGUGCCUUUGCUUCAUAGGCUAUUCCAUGAAUAUCAGUUGUGAUUAUGUAAUGUCAGUGUGCUGGUGUGAGGUAGUACAUUGCAACUAGAUUUUUGGUUCAAGGAAAAAGAUUGAAGACGUUCUCGAGGAAAGACGUCAUCAACUGUUGCUUCUGUUAAAACCUAGACUUGUAAAGAAAAGUGCAUCGCAGUUGUUCUCCAACUCCAGCAAAGAUGAUAUUAUAAUUGCCCAACAACUGGAGGUUAGUCAGGUGAAUUGGUUCAUUGUUAUUGUAGGUACUGGUCAUACAUUAAUAUAAUGAAUGCAUUCUGUUCCCCAUUACUCUAUGCUGUUCUUGGAGAGGAGCAAAAUGGAAAUUAACUAAAAAAUACAGUCCCCAUGGAAAGGCCUAUGGACUUUUUUCUCUUUCCUAGUAUCAUGUAAACAUAAAUCAGAGUGAUUAAAAAAUGUCUUUCCCUAUUUAGCUCCUGAACUAUGAUACCAAAAAUUUUCUAAUUUGACAUAACUUGAAUUUUAGAAUCCCUUAAGUUGAAUUAGCAACUGUUUCUUUCUCUGCAAUUUCAUCCUGCUCUUUUUAAUAGCUUCUGCUUGCAAAACUCUUCUACUAUUGUACUUGAAUGUAUCUUUUUUGGUUGAAAAAAAAAGAAAAAAAAAAAAAGAAAUUCUGUGUGUGUGAAGGAGAGAGAGAGAGUGUUUGUGUGUGUAAUUCUCCUGCCAUUUUUAGACCGUCUUAAUCUUUAAAAGCUAAGGUUAUCAAUUUUGAGCAUUUGUGUCAUAGGACCGAUGCCACUUUCCUGGAUAAAUUCCUACAGAAAGGUAAACUCACAAUUCCUUUUUGCUCUUUGCUGUUUGCAAAAUUUAUUUGAAGACUCUGGUUGAUUCGUCUGCUACUUUUAAAGGCUAUAUUUUCUUGCACUGAUGGGAAGGCCUAUGGACGUCUCAUUGGUAAGUUUAUUACUUUUUGGCUGAGAAAUGCACGGAGGCCUAUUGCUCAGUUACUGAUUCAAGUAACAUAUGGCGAGAAAUGCAUGGACGUACCAUUUCUUUUUUAUAUAUAUCUCACUGUUUUACAAGUAUAAUCACGCAAAUCCAUCAGCGGAGAAAAAGAAAAUUCAAUUUAUCGUUGCUAUUUAGUUUCUUCUCUUCUGUGAUAUAUCUUUUGAGCAAAUGAUGUUUGCAAUUUGAUCAAUCAUUACGCAGUCGAGUUAAAUCUCAAUUUGGCCCCUGAAAUUUGGCCUGAUGCUCAGAAUGACCCCCAUAAUUUUGUUGGCCCCAAUUAAAACCCCCAAAUUUACAAUUGUGGCUCCAGCUUGCCCCUGUGAUCAUCUUCGUCACCGGAAUGCUGAUCUAGCGCAAUUGCAUGACAUGUUGGACACUAAUUAAACGACGGCGCAUUAGUUUCGCACGCAAAACCUUUGGAAACCACGUAGUGUAAGGAUUUUCUUGAUGUUUGACAACUUAUGAUCGUCAUAGUGGAAAGAAAGAGAGUUUUAACCCACAAAAAACUGAAACGGUGUGGUUUUUUAAGGGCUUCGGCACAAAACCAAUGCGCCGUCGUUUAAGUAGUGUCCACCGUGUCAUGCAAUUGCAUCAAAUUAGCAUUUUGGUGACGGAGAUGAUGGCAGGGGCAAGUUGGAGCCACAAUUGCAAAUUUGGGGGUUCUAAUUGGGGCCAACGAAAUUGUGAGGGUCAUUCUGAGUAUCGGGCUAAAUUUCAGGGGUCAAAUUGAGAUUUAACUCUUACGCAGUCACAUCGUUUCCAUAUUCGUUUUUAGUGCUCUGGAUUUGGAUUUUCUUCGCGAUUUACGUUCUCCUUCAAAUCAUUAUCACAUUAUUUACAAUUGCAACAGCUCAAUCCUGAAUUCUAAUUCGUUUUUUUCUA